AUGGUCUCCGGACUCCAGUUGCAAACCUGUCUGACCAGAGCGCGGACGGCGCAUGCGCAAGGCCGGCACGCGGUUCCUCCCCUCCUACCUCGGCGACCUCCUCCCUGCUUCCGCCUCCAGAGUUCAGACACGUCAUCCCUCGCGGCCCGGCCCUGUGGGAGGAUAGGGGCGGGGCCCGGCCGCGGGGAGGAGCGGACCCCUUAUUUCCGGCUCCGGCCUCUCCCGGAAACGCCUUUACCGGGGUUCCCUUGGUUACCUGCCUCGGGUGUCAGGGCGGUGCUCGGGGCGUGGCUUAGGGAGACCGCCCCACCCUCUCGUCUGGGCUGCAGAAUGGAGUACCUCCUUUCAGGGUUCUUUGCAUGGUGCUCAUUAGUAAUAAACUAAAGGAAAUUUACAUGAAGAUGAAGAUUUUCUUGCUGGUUGUGUUGGUAUAAUAAAGCUGAAUAAGCACUCGGAGCCUCAGUGGAGCUGCGGGCACAGAGUUUAAGAGAGAGAUUGUAUGGUAAACUAACAGAAGAGGACAAAGCCAGCUCAGAAGAAUCACUUCCCUACAAUUCCC
rnacentral:lncRNA from 1 species